GGAACGACUGCUAAUACCGCAUAAUGUCUACGGACCAAAGGGCCGCUUCGGCUCUCGCCUUUAGAUUGGCCCAAGUGGGAUUAGCUAGUUGGUGAGGUAAUGGCUCACCAAGGCGACGAUCCCUAGCUGGUUUGAGAGGAUGAUCAGCCACACUGGGACUGAGACACGGCCCAGACUCCUACGGGAGGCAGCAGUGGGGAAUAUUGCACAAUGGGCGCAAGCCUGAUGCAGCCAUGCCGCGUGUGUGAAGAAGGCCUUCGGGUUGUAAAGCACUUUCAGUCAGGAGGAAAGGUUAGUAGUUAAUACCUGCUAGCUGUGACGUUACUGACAGAAGAAGCACCGGCUAACUCCGUGCCAGCAGCCGCGGUAAUACGGAGGGUGCGAGCGUUAAUCGGAAUUACUGGGCGUAAAGCGUACGCAGGCGGUUUGUUAAGCGAGAUGUGAAAGCCCCGGGCUCAACCUGGGAACUGCAUUUCGAACUGGCAAACUAGAGUGUGAUAGAGGGUGGUAGAAUUUCAGGUGUAGCGGUGAAAUGCGUAGAGAUCUGAAGGAAUNACCGANUGGCGAAGGCAGCCACCUGGGUCAACAUUGACGCUCAUGUACGAAAGCGUGGGGAGCAAACGGGAUUAGAUACCCCGGUAGUCCACGCCGUAAACGAUGUCUACUAGAAGCUCGGAGCCUCGGUUCUGUUUUUCAAAGCUAACGCAUUNAAGUAGACCGCCUGGGGAGUACGGCCGCAAGGNUUAAAACUCAAAUGAAUUGACNGGGGGCCCGCNACAAGCGGUGGAGCAUGNUGGUUUAAUUCGAUGCAACNGCNGAAGAACCNUUACCUACACUUNGACANUACAGNAGAACUUNACCAGAGAUNGGUUUGGNUGCCUUNCGGGAACUNCUGANUACANGGUGCUGCAUGGNCUGUNCGUCAGCUCNGUGUUGNUGAGAUGUUGGGUUAAGUCCCGCAANCGAGCNGCAACCCCNUNAUCCUUAGUUGCUNAGCAGGUAAUNGCUNGAGANACNUCUAAGGAGACNUGCCGGUGNAUAAACCGGAGGAAGGUGGGGACGACGNUCAAGUCAUNNCAUGGCCCUUANCGUGNUNAGGGCNUACACACGUGCUNACNAANUGGCGCNANUACAGAG
rnacentral:rRNA from 1 species